CCUACGGGUGGCAGCAGUGGGGAAUAUUGCACAAUGGGGGAAACCCUGAUGCCGCGACGCCGCGUGAGUGAAGAAGUAUUUCGGUAUGUAAAGCUCUAUUAGCCGGGAAGAAAAUGAUGGUACUUGAUUAAGAAGCCCCGGCUAAUUACGUCCUAGCAGCCGCGGUAAUACGUAGGGGGCAAGCGUUAUCCGGAUGUACUGUGUGUAAAGGGAGCGUAGACGGCAGCACAAGGCUGAAGUGAAAUGCCGGGGCUUAACCCCGGUACUGCUUUGGAAACUGGGCAGCUAGAGUGCGGGAGAGGUAAGUGGAAUUCCGGGUGUAGCGGUGAAAUGCGUAGAUAGAAGGAGGAACACCAGUGGCGAAGGCGGAUUGCUGGACUGUAACUGACGUUGAGGCGCGAAAGCGUGGGGAGCAAACAGGAUUAGAUACCCGUGUAGUC
rnacentral:rRNA from 1 species